AACGAACGCUGGCGGCAGGCCUAACACAUGCAAGUCGAACGCUCGUAGCAAUACGAGAGUGGCAGACGGGUGAGUAACACGUGGGAACCUUCCCUAUGGUUCGGAAUAGCUCAGGGAAACUUGGGGUAAUACCGGAUAAGCCCUUCGGGGAAGGAUUUAUCGCCAUUGGAUGGGCCCGGCCGUCGGAUUAGCUAGUUGGUGAGGUAACGGCUCACCAAGGCAACGAUCCGUAGCUGGUCUGAGAGGAUGAUCAGCCACACUGGGACUGAGACACGGCCCAGACUCCUACGGGAGGCAGCAGUGGGGAAUAUUGGACAAUGGGCGCAAGCCUGAUCCAGCCAUGCCGCGUGAGUGACGAAGGUCUUCGAUUGUAAACUCUUUUGGCGGGACGAUAAUGACGGUACCCGCAGAAUAAGCCCCGGCU
rnacentral:rRNA from 1 species